GUGCGCAUGUGCAGGCGAGCAGCCACAAGAUUCGCGCUUUUACCCGUCUUCCUCUGAGCUUUUGAGGGUGGUGGAUGAAGAAAUACACGCAUAGACAGGUUGCAAGUGGCGGGUUCUAAGCCUGUCGGUUUGCUGCUAGCCUGCCGGCUUCCCAUGACCUGGGACCUGGAACCAGGGGCCCGCAGGACUGAUGACAAUGACCUUGAAGUCAUUAUGGGCUUAUAGGAACUCUUAUAGGAAUUCAAAACAACACGGGCACCAAGUAGAAGGUCAGUAAAUGGCAUAUUGUGUUCAUGUUACCAAAAUCUACUGUUUUGAGAGAUUGUUUUCACAAAUGGAUUUU